rnacentral:pre_miRNA from 1 species
UAUAUUCUCCCUCCGUCCGGAAAUACUUGUCAUCAAAAUGGAUAAAAGGGAUGUAUCUAGAUGUAUUUUAGUUUUAGAUACAUCCCUUUUUGUCCAUUUUGAUGACAAGUAUUUUCGGACGGAGGGAGUAUAAU